AGGCUAUGACUGAGCACAUUACACUGAGGAUCACCAUCCAUCUUGAUAAUUGUUUUUAGGCAACUCAGGCACACGCUUGUGAGUCUGAGACUGGAUGAAGGGUGAGUUUUGCAUUUCUGUACCAAAUAAA